rnacentral:rRNA from 1 species
UUACCUUGGGAGGCAGCAGUGAGGAAUAUUGGUCAAUGGGCGCAAGCCUGAACCAGCCAAGUCGCGUGAGGGAAGACGGCCCUACGGGUUGUAAACCUCUUUUGCCGGGGAGCAAGCCUGAGCACGUGUGCCCAGGCGGAGAGUACCCGGAGAAAAAGCAUCGGCUAACUCCGUGCCAGCAGCCGCGGUAAUACGGAGGAUGCGAGCGUUAUCCGGAUUUAUUGGGUUUAAAGGGGGCGCAGGCGGGCUGUUAAGCCGGCGGUAAAAAUUCAGGGGCCAAACCUGU